rnacentral:lncRNA from 1 species
CAAGAGGCCGCUAAAAUUGUUCGUUCUCCCGGCACAGCCCAAGGAUUUGCCAUCCGCCUUAGCUCUAGCUCGCGAGGCCGAAAAUAGCAUUGAGAGAAGCGCAUUUGCCGCUACGUAUGCAAAGGCGAUCGAGGAUAAAAACCAUUCAGGCGACGGCAAUAGACAGGGUCAUCGGGCCCAGGCCAGACAAGGUAGAGGUCAGGAAAAGAACCCAAAUUUUGUGGGAAAAAGUAAUCAAAAUAGGCAGCAACAGGGUGAUCCUUGGCCAAAGCCAAACGAUAAAGAGGCCCCACAACAAAACCAAGUGCAGCCUAUGGAAGUUGACCCAUCGAUGUCUAGGUUUAGGCAACAGACCAAUUGGGGGAAACCACAGAGCGACGUCACACAGGGCGAAGCUCAGAAAAGGCGGAACACGUCAGAUCGUAUAUCUGGGCAAAGACGCCAACGGAUAAAUAAUAUAAUACAGCAGGCCCCUAACCAAGGGGAACAAGAAUAUGCAAACUUAGCCGAGGCCGCGGUUGCGGAUAUUGACGAAGAAAGUGACUCGGCUAGCGGCAACGACCUGUUGAAUUUUUUUAGGUAGCGCUCCCAAUUGCCGUUUGUCGAGCGACAGUUGGCUGGCAGAACACUAAAAAUUUUAAUCGACACUGGUGCGGCUAAAAAUUACGUAAAGCCCGUAAAGGAGCUGAAAAACGUAACUUCGGUCGACACCCCCUUCACCGUGAGCUCGAUACAUGGCUCUAGUGAAAUAAAAAACAAGUGCAUAAUGAAUAUUUUCGGGCAAAACGCCCCAUUUUUUUUGGUAGACACUCUAACUACGUAUGAUGCCAUUAUAUGUUCCGAUUUGCUAACGUGAGCGGGAGCGGCAUUGAACCUGCGUAGCAGAACAAUCAGAUACGGAAACGUUACUGAACAACUUAGGUUCCACAACUGUGACAAUGUAAAUUUCACCAAAAUCGAUAACCUGGUGCUCGGUAAAAUCCGAGUUUAAAAAGAUGAUACUGAAGAGAAUUAAAGUUUUUUCGACCUCUAACGAGGCGCUUCCCUUUAACACCUCAGUCGUCGCCACCAUCCGAACUGUGAAUGACGAACCAGUCUACUCGAAAUUAUACCCCUACCCUAUGGGAGCAGCAGACUUCGUUAACAAAGAAGUCACAGAACUGCUGAAGGACGGCAUAAUCAGGCCAUCUAGGUCGCCAUACAACAGCCCAAUUUGGGUUGUAGACAAAAAGAAAUCUGACGCCAACGGCAGCAGGAAAAAGCGGCUGGUAAUCGACUUCAGAAAACUGAACGAGCGAACAAUUGCCGAUCGAUACCCUAUGCCGAGCAUACCCAUGAUUUUAGCGAACUUGGGAAAGGCAAGAUUUUUUACUACCCUAGAUCUAAAAUCAGGGUACCACCAGAUAUACAUGGCGGAAAAAGACCGUGAAAAACUUCGUUUUCAAUUAACUGAGGGAAAUAUGAGUUUUCCCGGUUACCCUUUGGACUAAAGAAUGCUGAGGGCAUUUUUCAAAGGCCAAUCGAGGAUGUUCUACGAGAACAAAUUGGGAAAAUAUGUUAUGUCAUUGUAGAUGAUGUAAUAAUUUUUUCCGAAAACGAAAAUGAUCACGUUAAACACAUCGAGACAGUGUUAAAACGCCUCUGCGAUGCAAUUAUGAGAGUGGCCCCAGAAAAGACAAUGUUCUUUAAAGAAAGCGUAGAGUUCUUAGGCUUCAUAGUUACCAGGGGAGUAGCCAAGACCGACCCAGAAAUAGUAAGGGCAAUAAAGGAACACACUGAACCCAAAACACUGUUCAGCCUCAGGUCCUUCCUCGGGCUGGCGAGCUAUUACAGAAGCUUUGUCAGAGAUUUCGCGACAAUAGCGAGACCCUUAACCGCAUUACUCAAAGGAGAAAAUGGCACAGUCAGCAAACACAUGUCCAAGAAAGUUGCGAUUCAGUUCGAUGAAACGCAACGCAACGCAUUCGACCGUCUGCGAAACAUUUUGGCGCCAGAGGACGUCAUCCUUACGUACCCUGAUUUCAAACUACCCUUCGUUCUAACUACCGAUGCCUCAGCAAGUGGCAUUGGGGCGGUUCUGUCCCAAAACGGCAGGCCAAUCACAAUGAUAUCGCGAACACUAAAAGAUUGCGAGCAGACCGUGGGCUUUAAAAAGCAGUACGAUCGGCUUCUAGCCAUGGAAUCUCAAUUCAGCAGUUUUAAAGUGCUGAAUGAGUCUCCUAGGCGCAAAAAAGUCACUCCUCGUGAUCUGCAAGUGCCUGUCCCUCGACCGCUCGCUGCUGAUCAACUGUCUCCGUCCACUCCGAUAGUGCAGCAGCUAAUUUCGUUCGCUACUCCAAGGGCAACGACAACUGCUGGUGAUCAAGUUUCGGCUACCGAAUCGAUCAUCUCGGAGAACAUGCAGCCAGUUAGUACUGUAGCGUCCGUGUCUGUCGAGUCCGUUCCAAAGCCCAUCCCAUCUAUUUCGAUCCCACCAGUUAAUAAACGUCCCGGACCACCGGAUAUUGCCGUCACAGGUACCAGAUCUGUGGUGCCAAAACCUCUGGUGGGAGUCUCACCAAAGCGACAAGUGUUUGUCUCUCGGCUUUCCGCUGACCUCACAUCUAAUGAUGUAACUGCUUUUAUACAAAGCAAAAUAAAAGCCGUUGGCUUAAAGGUGGAGAAGUUUAAUUUCUCAUAUGCCAGGGAGAUAUCCUCUUUCAAGAUUAGCGUGUCUCCAACUCAUUUCGAGACCAUUUGCUCUUCCAAAUUUUGGCCAGAGCACCUGGUUGUGAAAGAGUUUAAGGCUAAGAAGAAAAAUAGGCCCCCCAUAACUCUUCCUAGUAGUGAGGCCAGUGGUCCUUCCUCCUCUGCUCCAUUCCCCUCUUCCCACUGCAAUUCCUUGCAGUCAAAAAACUAACAUCCCUCUUUGUAGCCUAUCAAAAUGCUCGCGGCUUACGUAGUAAGCUGAGCACUCUUUUUAUGGAUAGUUUCACAUUUUCAUCCCAUGUUAUUGUGUUUACCGAAACCUGGUUAAAGCCGGACAUUCUUAGUUCCGAAGUUUUGGCAGAUCGGUACACAACUUAUAGAAAUUAUCGUUCGUCUCGACGUGGAGGAGGGGUUCUGAUUGCAGUAAACUCUAACUUUACGUCGGAACUUUUCAUAGUCCAGGUCUCACAAGACCUGGAAUUCCUCUGUGUUAGACUGAUUCUUCCCGGCCAGUCUAUUUAUGUCACUUGCUCGUAUAUUCCACCGACUUCGGAUGUACUAAUAUACGAGCAGCAUUUGUCUGCCUUAAAAACUGUUUCUUCC